GAUGAACGCUAGCUACAGGCUUAACACAUGCAAGUCGCGGGGCAGCAUGGGGGUUGCUUGCAAUCCCCGAUGGCGACCGGCGCACGGGUGAGUAACGCGUAUCCAACCUGCCCUUCACCACGGGAUAACCCGGCGAAAGUCGGACUAAUACCGUAUGUUGUCCAUUGACGGCAUCCGAUUUGGACGAAAGGUUUGGCGGUGAAGGAUGGGGAUGCGUCCGAUUAGCUGGACGGCGGGGUGACGGCCCACCGUGGCGACGAUCGGUAGGGGUUCUGAGAGGAAGGUCCCCCACACUGGAACUGAGACACGGCCCAGACUCCUACGGGAGGCAGCAGUGAGGAAUAUUGGUCAAUGGGCGUAAGCCUGAACCAGCCAAGUAGCGUGCAGGAUGACGGCCCUAUGGGUUGUAAACUGCUUUUAUGCGGGGAUAAAGUGGCCCACGUGUGGGUUUUUGCAGGUACCGCAUGAAUAAGGACCGGCUAAUUCCGUG
rnacentral:rRNA from 1 species